GUCGAACGAGAAAGCGGCUUCGGCCCCAGUAAAGCGGCGCACGGGUGAGUAACACGUAGGUCAUCUCCCCUCGAGUGGUGGAUAACUCUCCGAAAGGAGAGCUAAUACAGCAUAAGACCACGACUUCGCCGAAGUUGUGGCCAAAGCAGACCUCUUCACGAAAGUUUGCGCUUGAGGAUGAGCCUGCGGCCCAUCAGCUAGUUGGUAGGGUAAUGGCCUACCAAGGCUAAGACGGGUAGCUGGUCUGAGAGGAUGAACAGCCACACUGGAACUGAGACACGGUCCAGACUCCUACGGGAGGCAGCAGUGGGGAAUCUUGCGCAAUGGGCGAAAGCCUGACGCAGCGACGCCGCGUGAGCGAUGAAGGCCUUCGGGUUGUAAAGCUCUGUGGGGAGGGAAGAAUAAGGCUUGGCUAAUAUCCAAGUUGAUGACGGUACCUCCUUAGCAANNNCCGGCUAACUCUGU
rnacentral:rRNA from 1 species